rnacentral:sRNA from 1 species
GAAGAGCAGUCGGUGCUCCUAACCGCUGAGCCGUCUCUCCAGCCCCGCCCACUUGUUUUGAGAUGCGGUCUUGUUAUGCUGUCAGGCUGGUCUCGAAUGCCUGGGAUAAAGUGGUUUUCCCGCCUCAGUUCUCAAGUCUUUUUCCUUUUUCUCAUUUGUAAAGAACCAAUGAACUGACAUCAUUAAAUUUUUGUUUGAACAGUAGUGUAUUACUUUUGUUGAAAGGGGUAUUUCCAUAAAAUCAGGACUCUUCUCUAGAAUACCAGCAACGGAGACCAGCUUCGUAGGGGGAGAGCAACUUCAGCUAUUCUUUGAUGACUGGACAGGAUUGUAGGACGAGAUCCUGGGGAAGGUGAGGGUUUGUACUCACAGCAAGGUGAACGCUUCUGUGGCAGAGAUGUAUAAAGGACAGAUCAAUCAAGGAGAGGAAACUGGGCUUUAAAUGAAAUAGACCAGGGAGUCUAGGCCACUUAAAGUUCUUGGGCAGAGAACAGCAUGAAAAAACAGAAGAUCCAGCAGGAGUUUCCUGCUUGCUCCUGGACCUGUUGGUUAGGAUGUAUUGGAGUCUGUUUUCUCUUAACUCUGUCCCACUCCUAACAACUAAGGACCUGGAGGAAAAGCUCAGUCCAUCAACCUGACUCUGUAUGCCCGGGCUGCACCUUGUUUCCACGUAGGCACUAAGGAAGCCCAAUCCAGACCGGUCUCUGGUUCCCUGUGACAUUUUGGGAUAGUCCACCUCACGAAGCCAGCUAACAGGGGGCAGUGUGUGCGAAGGCAAGGGUGUAAUGAAUGUGUUCCUGCCCCUGCGUCCCUGUGAAAACACAGGACUGCUAUUGGUCCUCCACCUCCCGAUUCUGCACGGUCACAGAUGGACAGGGCAGGGAGAGAUGCACUUGUGGAACGCACGGGUUGCAGUUGGCAUCCUUUCUGUAGCUAAAGCUGGUUCCUCUAAAACAGCCAGAGACUCUGUGGCUGUACCUGGCCUUGGCCAUCUUCCCAGGUUCGCCUCCUGAUCUUAAUGAGGAAGGUGAGGCCAGUUCUGAACCCGGGUCCUGAAGGUGGGGGGAAGUAGGGCUCCUCAUGAACGUGGCUAGUCUCUCAAGCCAGGCUUCUUUCACUCAUUGUCUUCCUGAUGUGGGGCUCACCACCUACGGGGCAGUCACUCGGCCCUGGCCCUACAGGCAUCAGCCACAGAGCAGGUUGCAAGCUAAACACUACGCGCAGGAAACAAAGUUCACAAGGCAGCAGUCUUGGUGCGCAUGCGCACAGCCGCAUUUGCUCCGUCGCGCCCCCUAGCGGCUAACUCUUGACACUGCCCGUGCUGACAGAGCGCGUGCGCAGACGUGGAAGCGGGUUGCGGAGCUUCCUGGAGGCUCCACUGAGUCUCGGGUAGGCGGGAACUGGGCGUUCGGUUGCAAGAUCCCUUCAACUCCCUCGUGUCCGAGCCCGAGCUUUGUCUUGUAUCCGAGAUCUAGUGGACGCGAGGUAGUUGCACGCCAGCCCCGCAGGUCCCAGACAUCCCCGGGAAGCGUCCUUCCAGGCGGUCACCCUCACCCUCCAGCCAGGGGACACCUAGGAGCCCGAAGCCGGCCCAGUUACCCAGGGGACAAGGCUGUGUCCUGAAGGCCGUUGUUGGCUGUCUCAGCUAACCAGUUCUUCAAAACUCAGCACAGUCGACACCUUCCACUCGACAGGCUUGCAGUUUCAAGAGUUCAGCUUUUGUAAAUCUUCCCUACACUGACUGCAUUUUCCUUCUGUUACAGCAAUAUGGAUAUGCAACUUAUUUUCUUGGUCAGGCUGAAGUAGGGAAUGUACUGUUUGUUAGUGGAUGGCUCCUGUUCCUAAUAGAGGAUCUCACACUUUGUAAAGCACCAGGGAAUAAAUGCAUUCAGCCUUUUAUAGUGGA